UUGGAAUAAACACUCUAAUAUAAGACGAAUAUAUUAUACCGUGUAUAAACUGCCAGUUUUAAGGAGAUACUUGGAAUAAACACUCUAAUAUAAGACGAAUAUAUUAUACCGUGUAUAAACUGCCAGUUUUAAGGAGAUACUUGGAAUAAACACUCUAAUAUAAGACGAAUAUAUUAUAUCGUGUAUAAACUGCCAG